rnacentral:lncRNA from 1 species
UGCCAGGUAUUUAAAAUUAUCGGAUAUAUUUUUCCAGUGACCAGAAAGAAAAUCCUGAUAUUUUUUCCAACUUUGAAGGCUCUCAGGAGGUUGGAGGGUGGGGUUUCAGGGGACAGGAAGAACUCCUAUACAACCAACCAUGAAGAACCUUUGAGCUUAGGACCCCCAGUGGGAUGCUGGCAGCAAUAUUGCUGUUGGGCUGAGAGGGAAAUGUAAAAAUCUUUCACGAGCUUCCUGUUAACGAUGACUUUUCUGUAGGUUAGGGUUUCAACUCCGUGGCUGCAGCACCUGUCUGGAGCCUGUGGUGUGGUGGAUGAGGCUGUCCUGGUGUGUCCUGACCCGAGCUCACGUUCCCUCCAAACUUUGGCUCUGGAGACGGAAUGGGAGUUGAGACAGAUCCCACUGCAGUCUCUCGACUUAGAAUUUGGAAGUGGAUUCCAACCCCGGGUCCUGCCUACCCAGCCCAACCCAGUGGACGCUUCCCGGGCCCAGUUCUUCCUGCACUUGUCCCCAAGCCACUAUGCUCUGCUGCAGUACCAUUAUGGAACGCUGAGUUUGCUUAAAAACUUCCCACAGGUAACUGCAGGCAACAUGGUUUGCUAGGAUUCAGGAGAUCUCUCCAAGACAUGGAUGCUAGAAGGCAGUGCUUUUGAAUCUGGAAACGUUUGCUCUUAGGCCCAAGAUUGAUGACACCUUCCCGUAAGUGGUUUGAGAGGGGGUAGGUAGCCUUAUCAUAGAAAUGGUGUAUUUCCUCCUGAGUAUUACAAAGGAUCUUUAGAGCAAAACUAGUGCCUUCCUUAGUCCAAAGGAAAUAUGGGGACAUAAAUGAGAGCUUCCCCAUAGAUAGUAAGAACAAGCAGCAUGGGAUUUAAGAUUGACCUGUGCCUGCGUUGGAGGUAGGGAGAGUUCUGUUUUCAGCUGUAGAUGCAACUGAGGCCUCCCUCUGCUCUUAAAUGCCUGACCAUUCUGCUCCAAAGUGGGGAGCACUUUCAACUCUAAGGCCAAGGGCCUUCCCUGGAGAGGUGACCCUCUGUAAGGCAGCUGGCUAGUACUGGUCCCAUUUAGGAGCUGAUGCCUUGCUUUUCCCCCAGACUGCCCUAGUGAGCUUUGCCACCACUGGGGAGAAGACGGUGGCUGCAGUCAUGGCCUGUCGGAAUGAAGUGGUGAGUAUUGAGAACAACAGUCAGCACUUGGGAUUUUCCUUCCUGGUCUCCACUAGGAACCCUGAAAAUCAGAAGUCUGGGCACAUUGACCUGGUCAGUUUGAACCCAGCGGGCAGGAGGCUGUUGAGAAGUGAGGUCUUGCCUCAACUAUAGAGCUUUCUGCACACCCCAUUUCUCCCCAGGAACGAGACCCUAAUGUGAUGACCUUACUUUCAUAUGGGGCUAUUAAGGGUUGAAUAGGCUUUGUGGGCAGGGGUGAGAAAUGAGCUUUGUCUUCUCUCAAGUGCUAAGAAGACAAAAACAAAAGCUUCAUUUCAGUGACUGGGAAGUGACCCUUUGGCUGAAUUUUCUCCUGUCCUUCUCUUUCUCAUAGCAGAAAAGUAGCAGUUCUGAAGAUGGGUCAAUGGGGAGCUUUUCGGAGAAGUCUAGUUCAAAGGUAUGGUGUGGCACUGGGCAGUAUGCCAGACCUAGAGACGCAGGAGGCCACCAAAGAGAGUUGGGGGAAGAGCUUUGGUUAGGAGCAGGUCCUAGAGUUCCCAGCUUCAAAUGAGGUUUCCUAAGUACUGUAAAUUAAAUGAUGUUUCUCUUAAUCUCAUUUUACCGG